GGGGCUCGAACUGGAAAUAAUCCAGGCCUCAAAAUGCUACGUCUGAGCGCGGAUCAGAUUGCAACAUAGCACAAUUACAAGUCCAAAUUGAAAAAAAAAGAAGCAAGGCGCAUAAGGCGCAAUCGAAGGCUCGCGCAAAUAUGGAGGACCUGGCGCGCAAAUUCCCCGUUUUAAGCAAAUGGGCGUGGAUCUGGCCUACUAAACGGGUCAGUGCACGGAUCCUUGCCCAUUGAACGGUGCCGUUUCAAUUUUGACAAAGUCAGGUUAAAGAAAACCCUAAAACUAGUUGUACACCAUUCAAAGGCAGAUCAAAAUAAUAAAAAAAAUCUAAGGCCUAGCCUCCUAUUCAUUCGGCCAAACUCUAGGUCCUUUCGACUGCCGUCUGACCUUGAUAUUUGAUCGAUGGUCAUCAUGCAAAAGGCCUAAUCCGGCUCCGUCCGACCGUGAGUCCAAAGGUUCGCUCAAAAGCCUCUAAAUCCCCCCUCCAAAACUCCGAUUGCGACGAAGUGAGCGAGGAUUCGAGGGAACCAAAAACAGAGGUAUGGGGUGUGCGUUGGCGUGUACGGGAGCUGGUGCGUCGUACGGUGCGAGGGGGUGGCUGUUGGAGGGUACGGAGGCUGGGGCUGCUAUCCGGUUGUGGCGCAACUGCUGCUAGGGCUAGGGUUUGCCAAAAUUUGGUUUAGUAUUUGGGCCGUUUGGGCUUGUAAUAAGUUUGGGCUAGGGCAUUGGUUUGGGUAUUGGGUUAGGGUAUUAGUUAUUGGGCCAUGUAAUGGGGACAUUUUAAUGGCCCAUUCAAUUAAUUUAUAUUUGGUUUAUUUUUAUUUAUUUUGGUUUUUUGGGUGUUGGGCCCAGGCAAAUUUGGCCCAUUACAAUAUGAUUUACAAAAUAAGUUAUAUAAAAUUACUUUUUUAUAAAAUAA